rnacentral:lncRNA from 1 species
UGUCAAGCAGCACUUAUUUAGUGCCUACUGCAUACAAGGUGCUAUGCUUACCCCUGAGGUUAUGAACAGUAUUAAUCUGGUGGCGAAGGAGACAGAUGCCGGCAGACCUGGGAGGGGAAGGUGGAGGGAUUCAAUUCUGUCUGCAGCUGCCCAGAGCUUCCUCCUAGGCUGCGGGAUAGGUAGGGGUCCAGGGCCCUGGGAUUCUCCCGACUCUUCAAAGACUCUAACUAAGGAUACAGGGAAUGGAAAAUGCUGUGGCCUCGCCAGUUCUGCAGAUUGCUGUCCCAUCCAGGAAGCACACACAAAGAUGUCCCGGGCCUGAGGAAGGAAUAUAGGGAUGAGGAAGAGGAAGGCUUCAACUGCUCAGACUUUUCCUCAGGUGAAAGGGGGUCCCUAGUGUGGUCUGCCCAGGGCUCUGAGUUGGUCCUUUGCAGAAAUUCACUGGGGCCUUCCUGGUACUUGAACCAACUCCUUUCCACAAGGCUGGAAAGAAAAUAAGUUCAUUUGCCCUUUCAGAGGCGGCAAGGUACACUGGGAAAACCACAGAAUCUAGGGUCGAAUAAGCAGAAGGGUCUCCAGACAUGUUAUCUUUGAGAAGCCACUUAACCUCUCUGUAUCCGGAGGGGGGGGCGGGGAACUAAUAAAAUCUACUUUCAGGGAUGAGUGAGA